rnacentral:rRNA from 1 species
GACGAACGCUGGCGGCGCGCUUAACACAUGCAAGUCGAGCGAUGAAAUCUUAACAUAACCCUUCGUUGUGAAGAUAAGAAGGAGUAGCUGCGGACGGGUGAGUAACACGUUAGUAACCUGCCUUUUACACAGGGAUAGCCUCAGUAAACCGGGAUUAAAACCUGAUGAAACUAUCAAAUCACAUGAUUAAGAAAGUUAACACUCCGGUGGUAAAGCAUGGACUCGCGUCCCAUUAGCUAGAUGGUGAAGGUAACGGACCACCAAGGCAACGAUGUGUAGCUGGCAUGAGAGGAUGACCGAAAACAAUGGAACUGGGAAACGUAGCGAACUCUUGCGGGAGGCAGAAGGGGGGAAUAUUGCACGACGGGGGAAACCCUGAUGCAGCCACGUCGCGUGAGCGAAGUAGUACUUCGGGUCGUAAAGCUCUGUUAUAUGCGAAGAUAAUGACGGUACCAUAAGAAAAAGCCACGGCUAACUACGUG